rnacentral:misc_RNA from 1 species
AUAAAACUUCGACCAAAGCAUUACCCCUCCAUACUUGGGCGACCUCUCAAUCACCGGAAGGAUUUCAGAAGUCAAUACUUCAGGAGGAAUAUAUCCACUUCCGGCUGCAUCCGGAGCUGCCGGUAACCCCAUAAAUAUUUUUGCUGCCUCUAUUGACGUAGUCCAUUGGUUCCAAGAAUUUAUCAGGUUGGUGGUAUUCCCUGAACUAUAUUGACAAGGUGGAUUAUUAUAGAAUUGCACCCAAACGUAGUCAAAUAGCCCUGUAUUAAGGGCAGUCCCAAGAAACAUAUCAGGGAAUGGGCAUUGAGGAGCUGCUGUUAGAUACACCUUUCUUCUUCCUCGCUUGCUAUAACCCAACAAGUAGCGAGCAAGAUUUUCCCAGUGUUGUGUUGAGCCAAGCUCUAUGUCA